rnacentral:rRNA from 1 species
UGAGGAAUAUUGGUCAAUGGGCGAGAGCCUGAACCAGCCAAGUAGCGUGCAGGAUGACGGCCCUAUGGGUUGUAAACUGCUUUUAUGCGGGGAUAAAGUGCGCGACGUGUCGUGCAUUGCAGGUACCGCAUGAAUAAGGACCGGCUAAUUCCGUGCCAGCAGCCGCGGUAAUACGGAAGGUCCGGGCGUUAUCCGGAUUUAUUGGGUUUAAAGGGAGCGUAGGCCGCCAGAUAAGCGUGUUGUGAAAUGUACCGGCUCAACCGGUGAAUUGCAGCGCGAACUGUUUGGCUUGAGUGCACGGUAAGCAGGCGGAAUUCAUGGUGGAGCGGUGAAAUGCUUAGAUAUCAUGAAGAACUCCGAUUGCGAAGGCAGCUUGCUGCAGUGCGACUGACGCUGAUGCUCGAAGGUGCGGGUAUCAAACAGG